rfam:Mesocricetus auratus contig163368, whole genome shotgun sequence.
GUCUUCAGCCAUAGCAUGCUGAACGCACCUGCUCUCAUCUGAUCUCAGAAGCUAAGCAGGGCCGUGCCUGGUUCAUACUUGGAUGGGAGAAAAUGUUUUGUUUUGUUUUUU